rnacentral:miRNA from 1 species
CCAAGGUCGCGGGUUCAAUCC